AGAACCCCAGGAGUCACCCUUGAGUCCUUUCCCUUGCCUCAUUCCAAUGUAAUCUAUCACCAGAUCUCAUCAAUGCUAUCUCCAAGAUCUAAGUAGGCUCCUCCCACUUCUCUCUACCUCCAUUGCUGCUGUCCAGUUCUAAGCCACCAUCCUCUUUCCUCCUAAGUGGUCUUCCUGCUUCUACACUUUGCCCCCUAUGAUCCAUCCACUUUUCAUAAAAGCAGUCAAAGCAAUCUCAAAAAUGUCCAUCAGGCUGGCCAUGGUCGCUCACCUGAGGUCAGGAGUUUGAGACCAUCCUGAUCAACACGGCGAAACCCCGUCUCUACUAAAAAUAUAAAAAUUAGCCAGGUGUGGUGGUGCAUGCCUAUCAUCCCAGCUACUCAGGAGGCUGAGGCAGGAGAAUCACCUGAACCCAGGAGGCAGAGGUUGCAGUGAGCUGAGAUCAUGCCACUGCACUCCAGACUGGGCAACAGACCUAGACUCUGUCAAAAAAAAAAAAAAAAGAGUCAAUCAGAUAUCACUGCUGAGCUUAAACUCACCAAAGCUUCCCUUUGUACUGGGUGGAGGGACUCUCCCCAGCAUGGCUUAGAAUCGGCUGUGUGAUCUCGUCCCUGCUUCCCUCUCAAACCUCACCUUGCGCCAUUCCCCCCAUCUCUCCCUUACACUCUAGCCCUGCCUUCCCUCACUCCUUGGAAUACACCAAGCUCUUUUGUGCAUAGUCAACUUUGCACAUUCCCAUCCCUCUGCCUGGAAGGCCCUCCCCUGCAAUCUCUCUGCCUGGCCAGUUCCUUCUCCAUUUUCCAAUCUCAGAAAGGCUUUCCCUUCCAAAACUAGGACCAACUUGUGCCACCAGCCCCUACUUUGGUCCCAGGUUUGUUUCCUUGAUAACAAGGAAUCACUCAUCUGUUAGAGGUUGUUUCUUCUGCUUCUUCCUUGUUGCUCAUCUCCUCCAGAGGAAUGCAAGCUCCAGAAGGGCAGUGCCAGGUCUAUUUCGUCCACCACUGUAUCAUCAGGACUCCACACAGGGCUUAGCAUGGCGCAGGUGCUCAAUGCAUGGUUGUUCAAUUGAUGAAUUAAAAGAGAAAGUGUGAGGCUGACAUUGAAAGAUGAGGCUGGAAAUAGAAGGCCUUGAGAACAGGGUCCUAUUCAUCUUUGCAGGACUGGCACCUCCCACAGGGAAGCCACUUAGCAAAUGUUUCACUGGAUGCAUGAAAGAAAAACUCGAUUCCAGAUAAAUCUGAGAUGUGCUGUCCUUUCUGGGCAAGGCUCCCCAAGAAGUUUCCGCUCCUCCUUAGGACUUCUUAGGAGGUAACAUGUCUAGGGCAUACAGCAAGUGCUUAAUAAAUGGGGUGACUGUUACUAUUGCUCACGUGGGGAUCACUCAUGCAGUCUCCUAGAAAAGACCUUCCGGAGCCCAUGCCAGAUACAGCAGUGGUUGGGUGAAAAAACGGCAGGGAAAAAUGAGAACCGAGCAGCAGGAUCCAAAUACGGCUGAGACCUAGGUGGGGAAAUGGCAGGAACAACACUGUCCUAGCUAACUGGGGUUCCCUUCUUUCCUCUAGACUUCAGUCACCUAGGUGCAGCAUGGAGAUGCCAGCUGGGACGUGAGUCUUCACAAGGGAGGGCUCAAUCUGAAUGCACACAUUCAUCUUUGGGCCUGCCAGGCUUGCACUGAUUUUGAAAAUCUGGCUCGCUGUGGCUGGUGAGGACUGGGGAGGUGUAGAGAAUUUCAAUUUCCCUCACCAAAUGGCAAGCUUGCGAAAAGUCCUUUCUCUCCAACAUUAUCACAUACUAAAAAUGAAAAACCAGCCAUUCAGAGCUCUCAUGAGAAAAAUAGAUGGGCUGCUUAGCUCACAAGAAACAGGAGGGCUGAAAAUCAAGUCUAGAGAACAUCAGAGGGUACAUUAUGUGCUAAGAUACUGCCCUUUUUUGGACCUGGGAGUUUCUAUUUUGCACAAAAGAAUGGGAUAGGGAAAGUAAUUCCCCGUAUAAUAAGCCACUCAUUUUAUACUUCAAAUCCAUUUGGUAGCUGAAUCUCCAAAUCCACUUAGUGGCGUUAGGUGAUUUUUGUUUUUUUUAACUCCCUAUCUCAAAAUAUGCAGUUUGAAAUAAGUGCAUAUCUCAAAAAUAGCAGCAUUAACAGGACAGAAGAGAAGGCACUAAAGUGGUGAAGGCUGUGACGCAAAGAAGACGUUUCCAAAUCUGUUUCAUGGCUAACAGAUCAAAAUCUAACACAGAAGGGGCAUGGGACUGAGCCUGAAGAAGUGGAAACUACUCCUGGCCAUGUGAUCUUGGGCAAGUCAGGUCACCUUUCUGGGCCUUCUCUGAAGGGGGUGAAUCAGUUGUUCUCAAAGAUCUUUUUCUUUCCAAACUGUUCACUGGGUGUUUCCAGAAGACCCGCAUUUUCUUAAAGCUAUCUGGCCGCGCUACAAUUGCAAAACAGAAAGGCUUUGGGAUGAAGGUUGCAAUACAGAUAACCCUGGCCUAAAAACUGAUAAGCUUUUACAAUCCCAAAACAUUACUCAGCAAUCCAGGUCCUGAUGUCAUCCCAGAAUCAAUCACGCCAAGAUAACCUAACAGAGUAGACAGGGGAAAAUGCGAGAGAAAGUUCUUUUGCUUUCCUGACGAGUACAGGUAAAGUUGAGGUCAAGUUAACGAUGAUGGUCUGCAGUUGACCAUCCUUCUCCCUGAGCUACUGGAAAACCACAUUAUUAAAGGAAACUGCUUUAGAAGUGCCCAAGAUGAACCUCUUGGGAUGUAUCAAACCGCAGAAAACCGGACACCGGCAAGUUUCUUUUUUCUUUGAAACUUCAUGUCGCUCUCAGAAAACGCAGCAGGUCCCAAAAUGGUACAAGCAGAAAACACAAGCCACUUCACGGUCCGCCCAGGAGCCAACCCCAAGCUCCAAGUAGGACUCCCCCCACCCCCUUCCCUUUCGUUUCUCUUCUUUUGCUUUAGGCAAGUGGCCUGGGGCCUGCCAAGCAGCGCCGGGUCCGGGUAGGGGCCGGGGGCCGCGGGGAACUUUCCUCGGCUGCACCAGAGACAAUGCCGGGAGGGCGCCCCAUCGGCGGGGUCCGGGCCGCCAAGCACGUCGUCCCGGGCCCUCCCCCGGAGGGGGACGCGAAACCCCCCAGGGCGGGCCCCGUCCCCGGCCCCACUGCAGGGGCCCCCUCUCCCGAGCUGGAGCAUUUCAGAAACGGCUCUCUGCAGAGGAAAUGGUUAGUGGCUGUGGCAGACCCCCUUCUGGUGAAAUCCGAAACAGAAAACCUCACAAAAUUUGGGAUUUUGCUCCUAAUCUGAGAGUCUGGGUGUAGUGGGGAGUGGGGGUUGUUAAACAGUCUGGAGCGGAUUUACAAAGUUUGGGAAAACCAAAAUCAAUCUCUGACUGGGCAGAGAGGUCGGGCAGCCAAUGAGUGAUUCAUUGUGGUUUCCCACGGAAAUGCCACAUUUCGGGGGUGUCUACCUGGAGGAUGCAGCUUGGUGGUUUUGCUGUAAGUGUUUCAGAUUCCUUUGAAACCCAAUCAGACUUUGAAGAGGGAACAACAUGCUCAUGAGCGAAAACAGAAGCCUGAAAUGAACCUGCUGGGAACUGAAAGUUGGGUACCAGCUCGUUUACUCCAAGUAAGGAACAGAUACCAGUUUUAGACCCAGCAUUGUUCCUUUUCUGCAAUUCUCUCUCCGUGGCCAGAAGCAGUAGGACAGCUCUGAGCUGGGCACCAGGAGUCCCAGGGUCCUGCUCCAGGCCCACUGUAGCUGCCGUCCCCUCUGCCUGGAAGAACCCUUGUAUGGCUGUUCUUGGCACGCAGCUCACAGCCCAGAAGUCAGCUCCGCAGAUAGGUUUUCCCCAACCAUGUGAUCUGCUUGUCUCUGGCACCUACACCCCACCUCCACCUCUCCCAAACAUAGCGCAUCCUGUUUGAUUGCUUCAUAGCCCUUGUCACUGUUUAAUGUAGCCUACAUGAUUGGUUGCUUAUUUUUUAUCUGCCCCCCACUCUCCCCACUGCAUGGGUAAACUGCAUUACAGCAGUACCUUUGCCUGUUUCCUUAGAACAGUGCUGGCCCAUAUGAGACCAUCGAUAAACACGUGUUGAAUAAAUGAAAGAAGCAAACAAACUAGAGUUGCAGAUGGGACCUCUGCCUGAGGUAGGGUGGUUCACUCGGUCCCGCAGCUCCCUGUGGCUUCCUCUUUGGUGGAGAGAUUCAAAAGGGAACGCCCAGUGCGGUGGAAGGAGCACCAGAUGGCUCUAUUAGUGCUUCUGGAAAACUAAAACUAUAAGUAGGCCAGGCGCGGUGGCUCACGCCUGUAAUCCCAGCACUUUGGGAGGCCGAGCAGGUAGAUCACCUAAGGUCAGGAGUUUGAGACCAGUCUGGCCAACAUGGUGAAACCCCGUGUCUACUAAAAAUACAAAAAAUUGCCGGGCGUGGUGGUGGGCACCUGUAAUCCCAGCUUCUCCAGAG
rnacentral:lncRNA from 10 species